rnacentral:rRNA from 1 species
GACGAACGCUGGCGGCGUGCUUAACACAUGCAAGUCGAACGGAAAGGCCCUGCUUUUGUGGGGUGCUCGAGUGGCGAACGGGUGAGUAACACGUGAGUAACCUGCCCUUGACUUUGGGAUAACUUCAGGAAACUGGGGCUAAUACCGGAUAGGAGCUCCUGCUGCAUGGUGGGGGUUGGAAAGUUUCGGCGGUUGGGGAUGGACUCGCGGCUUAUCAGCUUGUUGGUGGGGUAGUGGCUUACCAAGGCUUUGACGGGUAGCCGGCCUGAGAGGGUGACCGGACAAAUUGGGACUGAGAUACGGACCAGACUCCUACGGGAGGCAGCAGUGGGGAAUAUUGCACAAUGGGCGGAAGCCUGAUGCAGCAACGCCGCGUGCGGGAUGACGGCCUUCGGGUUGUAAACCGAUUUCGCCUGUGACGAAGCGUGAGUGACGGUAAUGGGUAAAGAAGCACCGGCUAACUACGUG